rnacentral:lncRNA from 1 species
UUUUUAUUGUUGUUUCAAAACAGAAGUAGAAAAUACUUCUCUGAUCUAAUGAAAAAUUGAGUCUUUAGUGAACAGUAAGAAUCCAGUUUAAAUACAUGCAUUUUAUACCUGAAGCUAAUACAAUAUUAUAUGUUUAUACUUCAAUUUAAAAACAAUUUAAAGCUUCUUUGCUCUGAUUAUGUGUAAUGAAUACACAUGAUACAUGUAAAAAAUUAUAAAACAUAUAAAGUGAUGAAUGACAAAGUAAAAAUAACUAUAAUCUUCUAAAAAUACAAUAAAAUGAAAUUAAAAUAUAUGCAUUUAACAGCUGACACUAAAAUUUCUCUUAGGAAAGCAUGGUAAGUAAAGUGCUGGCAAAAAUGAUGGUAAUAACUUCCUUCAUGCUCUCAGGUUGUCCCUUCCCAUAUCAGCUUGGCUUGGCCAUGUGAAUAGUUUUAGCCAAUGAGACAUUGCAAAUGCAGAGGCUUGAAAAGCUACUUACACACUGUGAUUCUUUGGAACUGGGAGACCACCACAUGAAGCAGCUUAGGCUAGCUGUUCUGGCUAACAACCUACAAAAUCAGCCUAAUCUUGACAUAUGAAUGAUGCUAUCCCAGGUCAUUUGACACCAACAACCUCCAUCUGACCACUGAUGUAUGAAAGAGUCCAGGAGAGGUCAACCAAGCCAGACCCAACUUAAAACAGCCCAGCUGACCCAAUGAAUAGUGAACUGAAUAAAAGUUUUUCUCUUAAGCCACUCAAUUGGGAGGUGAUUUGUUAUGCAGCAAAAACUAACCAAUACAGAAUGGAACUGGCUUGUUUAAGAAAAUAAGCUGAAAACCUAUAGGUUUUGGGGGCAAUCCAUAAAUUAAACUACUUUGGCACAAGAAAGAGCUCAAAUUCAGAGGUUAUCAGGAAAUUAUAAGUGUGUGCUUCCACAAAAACUGCAGAAAUCUUAGGAAGUGGAAAAUAAAAGGAAAAUAGAGGUUUCAACCAAUCUUAUAUAACUCUUAAGGGCAGGGAGUCUCUGCCAACAUCUUGGAGGGAUAAAGAUAAGGGACAGGUAUUGAUACGGGUAAAGACAAAGAGAUAUACAGACAGAAUUUUAUAUAGAUAGAUAGAUCUCUAAGUCAUUUGCUACAGUGAGCAACAUGAAAAAUUAAAAACCUCACAUCAACUAUCUAUAAACAAGGCAACUCUUAGCAAAUUCAUUAGUCAGAAUGAGUUUUUGUUUUUCUCCUAUAUAGAUAAUGUAUUGAGGUUAAUUUUUAUGCCAGCAUGAGUGAGGCUUGUUUCAAUGUUAUUCUGCUGCUUUAAGAAUACACCUUCAAACUAACACAUGAGCCAUGUUUAUGAGACUAGUUCCUGGUGUGACUGUUAACCCAAUACUUAUUUCAGCAUAUCUUCAAUUUCAUCUUCAUUUUUUCAGUCAGUCUCUAGGCCUUUCCUGACAAAUUGCUCAGUCAGCAUUCUUACCCCUUUCUGUCUUUGUAUCUCUAACUUUGACUAGCAUCUUACCCUCAGCCCACCAUGAGAGCCCUCUCCCCCAUUAUACUUCUGAACUACUCUCCUGGGCAGGUCUACUUAGAAACAAGCUGGCUGCUGAUCAUCUAUUUUUUUAAAAGAUUUUAUUUAUUUAUUCAUAAGAGACAGAGAGAGAAAGAGGCAGAGACAUAGGCAGGGGAAGCAGCAGACUCCAUGCAGGGAGCCCGAUGUGGGACUCCAUCCUGGGACUCCAGGAUAACGCCCUGAGCCUAAGGCAGACACUUAACCACUGAACCACCCAGACAUCCCCUGAUCAUCUACUCUUAAAUCAUCUUUAAAGCAUGAGAAUAAGUAUUUGUCCAUACUAUAAUCUCCAACACCCAGUGUGCAAUUAAUAUACAUUAGUGAACUUCAAAUAUAUAUCUCUUAUUUAAAAGAAGUAAUAACCACUACCAUCAAUCACAUUUAAAUAUCUAAAUUAUUAGAAUGGAUAAUAUAUGAAUAUAAUCUAUAAUGCUAUAUUACUAUCCAAGGAAGAAGCCAAGUUUAUUUUUAUCUAUGUAAUCUUCAUAAAUGUUGAUAGUAACUAUACAUACAGGCUGUGGCAGUCUGUAUUUUCCAAAAAUGGCUACAAUAUCUCCUGUCUUAAAUAUCUUCCUAGAAACUUGCCACUCCCCAUCAAAACACAGUUUAAUUCUCUUACCCUUGAACCAGAGAAGGUUUAUGAAUGACUUGCAACAACAAAAUGUUGUAGAAGUGAUGCUGUAUAACCUCUAAGGUGAAGUCAAUAAAGGCAUUACAACUUCCAUCUUGCCAGAACAGUCACACUGUAGUAAUGACCCACCAUAUGAGCAGUCCAGCUGCCCUGAGGCUAUCAUUCCGUGAGAAAGCCCAAACCAGCCUAUGCGAAGAAACUGCAUCUAGGAGUCUCCUGAAGUUCACUGUCCAGAGAAUAAUGACACGAUUAAUGCUGAUUAAAGCAUGCUUUCAAUUAGAAUCUCUACUGACAAAGGUAGAAUGCAAUCUCUAGAGAGGGAAACAUCAAAAUUACGUAGAUGCAAAUACUACAGUCUGUCCUAAACUGAGGGGCAAAUAUGGGACUUGAGUUAAAAGAGCAGUCAUACAGACCAGGUACCUAUGGUGCCUAAGAGCUCAUCCUAUUCAGAUAAAAAUGCCAAGCUUUGGGAAGCAGGAAUAAUUCUAGGUUCUACCUACAGAUAUGAAAGAUUUCACAACACAGUUUCCGUAUUUUAGUCCAAAGUGCUUCAGGCAUUGAGUAGUAAUGGGUUUUUAAGCUGAAGGUCUUCGUAUGCUGUGACUGAGCAGCAAUAAUAAAGGUGUGAGUGACAGCAAAAGAAUAUGGAGUAAAAGAAAUAGCAGAAUAGGGUGGCAUUAAGUCAAGAGCAGCUGAGCCUCUCUGGAUAUAGCCAAGUCAAAAGGAGUUGUACAUAAUUCAAGUGAAGAACAUUCUAAGCAAGAA